AAAGGGAAAUUGACACCUCGCGACAACAAGCUUGAACCCUCCUCCUCCUCCUCCUCCUUCUCCUCCCUCGCUCUGGUAUGAAAUGAACAUUUGCUCCUAUCUCCCUUCUAUUCACAUUCAAAACAGUCUAUAAAAGACGAGCGGUGCUGGGAACAAGUCAGCUGAAGAAAGAGCCACAAGGACAAUAAUAUUACUGCCACUUUUUUACACUCUAUGGCGGACAAAGGCCUGUGUGAGGAUUCGGAAGAGGUUAUGUCCAAAUAACAGAAGAAGAUGCUGGUUUUUGAACUUUGCCUCCAUAACAGUCCGGAUGGUUCUUUUCCUCUUUGGCCCGGAGGACACGACGUUUGGAACAUUCCACAGGUGAACAGGCUAAUUGGGAACAGCCCUCCAUCAGACUUCAGGAUGGAGAACCGGGAGAGGGAACAACAUAGUGGGAAGACGAAGAAUGGAAGCCCCCCCCCCCUCCAGCACUUUAAAGUUCCUCUCCAAGCGGGGGUACUAUACAGAAAGGGGCCGGUUGAAGUUCAAAAGAGUGGAAGGCGAGAGUACAUGAGGCCUCUGCAGAGUGGCCACAAAAUGGAGACUGGGACAGAAGCGCCGGCAGCUGUGGUGACGCUACACUCCAACACAAUACGAUCAACCAGGACGUCUAUAAAAAGAUCCUGUGACGUUCACCGUCCGAGAAGAGGCGAGCUCCUGGCCGAGAAGAACAUCGCCGUGCUGGAGCAACCUCACUACUCACCCGACCUUCUUAACAUUUGACAGCGAGACUCACAGACAUCCAUAACUACAUUUUUCCUACCCACAACUGGCAUUUAAGUGGAUAUGAACAAGGAAUAUGAAUAUGUAUGCUGGAGAAGCAAGGAUAUUGCCUAUGUGUCUGGGUGAGCGAUGACAUCGAUGACGCACCUGUCGUCAAUUGUAAUCAUCAGCCUUUUUAGGCUCCACCGUGACAGUGUGCUGGCGUCGGAAUAUUCCCCCGUUUUUGCCACGUUUGUCCUCUGUCUCAACUUAGUUACUCUACCAGUAUAUCGCUUACCACACGGACCUUUUGCCAUGUCCCCCUGUGUUAUCCGUUUUUUGAUUCUCUCUGGUUGCGAGUCCCUUUGACCUAGUACAUCGCGCCAUCACAUGCUCUUUCGUUGAAUUAAAAUUGUUUUUGGACCUUU